AAUAACUGUUUUAUGGUAAUGAUCCACCGUUCAAUAUGAUUAUCAAAGUUCAAUUUGAUUGUAAAGUCUUUUGACAUGUCAUGGAGAAUUGAUAUUAAAAAUGCAAUGCUAUAAAUCGACACUAAUGUAGGAUGGCUUGUGCAAUGGACUGCAGCACUAUGCUGCCAUGGGUAUAGGGACUACCUUGGUGGUAAACAGGUCAACUUGAUUCCUCAAGAUCAACCAGAAGAUACCUACACAGCAGUUGCAUCAGUGGUGGAACAGCUACACAAGAAAGAUGCGGACAAUGGUCAUGAGAUUGCUAUUUAGAUGUAUAGUUCUGUAGAGAGCAGUUUGUGGCGCUCCAUGAAGAGCCAAUACUGGAGGACCUGGCUGAUGCCUGGGAGGAGAAGUAUAUGGAGGACUAGAGUACAAGGAAACUCAGAAAGGUGAAGUGUCAGUUCAUGCAGAUCUAUAGCGAUCCAUUUCCUAACAUUGGUGAUCUCGAUCUGAAGCAAGUGCUUAUUUUUUCUCCUAACUAUUUCUACUGCAUGUGGACAGUCUAUAUCAGUACAAUAAUCAUAUGAAUGGUAUUAUAUCCAAUUUGAUUGUAAAGUCUUUUGAAAUGUCAUG